rnacentral:rRNA from 1 species
AUAAAGCUCCGCCCUGCGAAGGAACGAGCGCAUUUAUUAGAAUAAAAACCAAUCGGGUUUCGGCCCGUAAUUUGGUGAAUCUGAAUAACUUUGCCAAUCGCACGGUCCUAGUACCGGCGAUAUAUCUUUCAAGUGUCUGCCUUAUCAACUUUCGUUGGUAGGUUAUACGCCUACCAAGGUAGUAACGGGUAACGGAGAAUAAGGGUUCGACUCCGGAGAGGGAGCCUGAGAAACGGCUACCACAUCCAAGGAAGGCAGCAGGCGCGCAAAUUACCCACUUCCAGAACGGAGAGGUAGUGACGAAAAAUAACGAGACAGUCCUCUUCGAGGUCUGUCAUCGGAAUGGGUACAAUUUAAAUCCUUUAACGAGGAUCUAUUGGAGGGCAAGUCUGGUGCCAGCAGCCGCGGUAAUUCCAGCUCCAAUAGCGUAUAUGAAAGUUGUUGCGGUUAAAACGCUCGUAGUUGGAUCUGCGGCCUCGACGAACGGUCCCCCGAAAGGGCGGUCACUGUCUCGUCUAGCCUAAAUUCGUGUCGUCCCUAGGUGUUCUUAACCGAGUGCCUAGGGUGACCAGAAGGUUUACUUUGAAAAAAUGAGAGUGCUUAAGCAGGCGAAAUAGCCGGAAUAAAAAGCACGGAAUAAUGGAAUAGGACCUCGGUUCUAUUUUGUUGGUUUUCGGAACCCGAGGUAAUGAUUAAGAAGGAACAGACGGGGGGCAU